GACGAACGCUGGCGGCGUGCUUAACACAUGCAAGUCGAGCGGUAAGGCCCUUUUGGGGGUACACGAGCGGCGAACGGGUGAGUAACACGUGGGUGACCUGCCUUCAGCUUCGGGAUAAGCUUGGGAAACUGGGUCUAAUACCGGAUAUGACUUGGCCUCGCAUGGGGUUGGUGGAAAGUUUUUUCGCUGAGAUGGCCGCG
rnacentral:rRNA from 1 species